UGGGGAAUUUUGGACAAUGGGCGAAAGCCUGAUCCAGCCAUGCCGCGUGCGGGAAGAAGGCCUUCGGGUUGUAAACCGCUUUUGGCAGGAACGAAACGGCGCGAGCCAAUACCUCGCGCUAAUGACGGUACCUGCAGAAUAAGCACCGGCUAACUACGUGCCAGCAGCCGCGGUAAUACGUAGGGUGCAAGCGUUAAUCGGAAUUACUGGGCGUAAAGCGUGCGCAGGCGGCUUUGCAAGACAGGUGUGAAAUCCCCGGGCCUAACCUGGGAACUGCAUUUGUGACUGCAUAGCUAGAGUCUGUCAGAGGGGGGUGGAAUUCCACGUGUAGCAGUGAAAUGCGUAGAGAUGUGGAAGAACACCGAUGGCGAAGGCAGCCCCCUGGGAUAAGACUGACGCUCAUGCACGAAAGCGUGGGGAGCAAACA
rnacentral:rRNA from 1 species